rnacentral:misc_RNA from 1 species
GAUGAAGAACGUAGCAAAAUGCGAUACGUAAUGUGAAUUGCAGAAUUCAGUGAAUCAUCGAGUCUUUGAACGCACAUUGCGCCCUCUGGUAUUCCGGAGGGCAUGCCUGUCCGAGCGUCAUUGCUGCCCUCAAGCACGGCUUGUGUGUUGGGCCCCGCCCCCCGAUCCCGGGGGGCGGGCCCGAAAGGCAGCGGCGGCACCGCGUCCGGUCCUCGAGCGUAUGGGGCUUUGUCACCCGCUCUGUAGGCCCGGCCGGCGCUUGCCGAUCAACCAAACUUUUUUCCAGGUUGACCUCGGAUCAGGUAGGGAUACCCGCUGAACUUAAGCAUAUCAAUAAGCGGAGGA